CCUACGGGGGGCAACAGUGAGGAAUAUUGGUCAAUGGCCGGAAGGCUGAACCAGCCAUGCCGCGUGAGGGAUGAAGGUUCUAUGGAUCGUAAACCUCUUUUAUAAGGGAAUAAAGUGCGGGACGUGUCCCGUUUUGUAUGUACCUUAUGAAUAAGGAUCGGCUAACUCCGUGCCAGCAGCCGCGGUAAUACGGAGGAUCCGAGCGUUAUCCGGUUUUAUUGGGUUUAAAGGGUGCGUAGGCGGGCUGUUAAGUCAGCGGUAAAAGCCCGGGGCUCAACCCCGGCGAGCCGUUGAAACUGGCUGUCUUGAGAUGUCGAGAGGUAUGCGGAAUGCGCAGUGUAGCGGUGAAAUGCUUAGAUAUUGCGCAGAACUCCGAUUGCGAAGGCAGCAUACCGGCGGCGAUCUGACGCUGAGGCACGAAAGCGUGGGUAUCGAACAGGAUUAGAUACCCUAGUAGUC
rnacentral:rRNA from 1 species